GAUGAACGCUGGCGGCGUGCCUAAUACAUGCAAGUCGAGCGAACAGAUGAGGAGCUUGCUCCUCUGACGUUAGCGGCGGACGGGUGAGUAACACGUGGAUAACCUACCUAUAAGACUGGGAUAACUUCGGGAAACCGGAGCUAAUACCGGAUAAUAUAUUGAACCGCAUGGUUCAAUAGUGAAAGACGGUUUUGCUUUCACUUAUAGAUGGAUCCGCGCCGCAUUAGCUAGUUGGUAAGGUAACGGCUUACCAAGGCAACGAUGCGUAGCCGACCUGAGAGGGUGAUCGGCCACACGGGAACUGAGACACGGUCCAGACUCCUACGGGAGGCAGCAGUAGGGAAUCUUCCGCAAUGGGCGAAAGCCUGACGGAGCAACGCCGCGUGAGUGAUGAAGGUCUUCGGAUCGUAAAACUCUGUUAUUAGGGAAGAACAAAUGUGUAAGUAACUAUGCACGUCUUGACGGUACCUAAUCAGAAAGCCACGGCUAACUACGUG
rnacentral:rRNA from 1 species